rnacentral:rRNA from 1 species
CAGUAGCCGCGGGAAUACGUAGGGUGCAAGCGUUGUCCGGAAUCAUUGGGCGUAAAGCGCGCGUAGGUGGCUCUGUAAGUCCGUUGUGAAAGUCAAAGGCUCAACCUUUGAAUGCCGAUGGAUACUGCAGAGCUAGAGUACGGAAGAGGCGAGUGGAAUUCCUGGUGUAGCGGUGGAAUGCGCAGAUAUCAGGAGGAACACCAAUAGCGAAGGCAGCUCGCUGGGACGUUACUGACACUAAGGCGCGAAAGCGUGGGGAGCGAACAGGAUUAGAUACCCCCGUAGUCCCUGUCUCUUAUAC